rnacentral:rRNA from 1 species
UACAGAGGUCUCAAGCGUUGUUCGGAUUCAUUGGGCGUAAAGGGUGCGUAGGUGGCGUCGUAAGUCGGGUGUGAAAUUUCGGAGCUUAAACUUCCGAAACUGCAUUCGAUAACUGCGGUGCUUGAGGACUGGAGAGGAGACUGGAAUUUACGGUGUAGCAGUGAAAUGCGUAGAGAUCGAUAAGGAAGACCGUGGCGAAGGCGGGUC